rnacentral:lncRNA from 1 species
UUUAGAUAAAAAUAAAAAAUAAAUGAUACCUUAAUUUGAGUAGGGUGCAUCGAUGAUGCAUGGUAACAUGACAAUUCCAGCCAUGUGAUUGGGCCAAUGAAUAGAAAUUGACUGAAAGCAUAAUGCAUGAUUGCUCGACUAGGCACCCAUCCUCAAAUGGGAUCCACGCGAUCGCAUAAAAACAACACCAAAUUAAAUGAUCAGAAACCAAAUGUACAUAUGUCACAAAAUGUUAUGUCAAAAAGAACUAGUGGCGUAUAUUUCUUGGCAGAAAGUGAAGUAGAGAAAAAGAAGAUGAUGAAGAUCAGAAAUGAAGUAAAGAUCAUAAACGAACAAUUAUUUGAAUGGCCACAAUUGUGAUAGAGCCCUAACCAUGUGGAUAUUCCUUGAAAUAUCCAAUGAGUUUUCUUCCUGCCCACUUGUUUUCUUUUUAUUGUGAUUAUUUUAAUGAUGCGUGUAACCUCCCCCAACUCCCAAUUCCAUACGCUACUACUAUUUUUAGCUAUGAUAUUUUUUUUCUAAUUUUUAUUUUCUUUCUUUCUUUAAUUUUAUUAUCAUUCUUUUUCCUAUCACACUCUUAGCUAUACUCUUUUCUUACACUUUCACUUUUUCUUUUUCUUUUUGCUUUUCUCUUUCCUUUUCUAGUUUUCUGAGGAUCUUCAUUUUUGUUCUUUUACAAUACAAGUCUUUUUUGGUCCAAGUGUUCUAAGUGGAUUGUAUAUUUCUCAUUGCCAAAUCACCUUUAUACUUUUAGGUCUCUAAUGUAUCUUAGCUCGGAAUAAAUUGGGUUUAUUUAUUUGUCUAUACAUCAAAUUAUUCCAUAAAUGCAUACCAAUUAUCCCAUAUACAAAAGUUUUGAUACGCUUUGUCCUCGUUCAGUGAAAUUAUGUCGUAUACAAUUUGUAUAAUUAUAUUUAAUCAAACGUACCAAAGACUUUUUUUUCUUUAUAUUAUUUACUAA